GUCACUUUGUCUUUAUGGCAAAUGUGAGAUGCAGUGUAUGGAAUGUCAAAUUUCUAGUAUGAGAAAUUAACGAUUUAAGUCCUUCUUAAAUGAGGCCAUUUACCCAUAGAGGGUGCCAGGCCCGUAUAACGUUAAUGAUUACUAGAUGGCAUUUCCAAAGAGUCGUGUUGCUUGAUAGUGCAGCACUAAGUGGGUGGUAAACUCCAUCUAAAACUAAAUAUAACCAUGAGACCGAUAGUAAACAAGUACCGUGAGGGAAAGUUGAAAAGAACUCUGAAUAGAGAGUUAAAUAGUACGUGAAACUGCUUAGAGGUUAAGCCCGAUGAACCUGAAUAUCCAUUAUAGAAAAUUCAUCAUUAUGAUUUUAAUAUUAAUAAUAUUAUAAUAAUAGUGUGCAUUUUUUCUAUAACGGACAUUGUAAUCUAUUAACAUAAAUAUAUUUAUCAUAAGAUCAAUGAUGCGUAAGUUUAUUCAAAUUAUUUUGCUUGCAAUUUAACAUAGAAUAAAUGCUCUUGAUUUGAUAAAGUGUUGAUAGAUUUAUUGUAUAUAGUGCUUAAAUAUUUAUAUUUUAUAAUAGCAUAUUAAUCAUUGAUUUUUAUGUUUAUUAUAUGCACUUAUAUGAUUAACAAUGCGAAAGAUUCAGGAUACCUUCGGGACCCGUCUUGAAACACGGACCAAGGAGUCUAACAUAUUUGCAAGUUAUUGGGUAUCAAAACCUAAUAGCGAAAUUAACAUAACUUUAAUGGGAUUAGUUUUUAGAUUAUUUAUAGUCUAUUAAUUCAAUCCCGGGGCGUUCUAUACAGUUAUGUAUAAUAAUAUUUAUAUUAUUUAUACCUCUAACUAGAGCGUACCUUGAGCAUAUAUGCUGUGACCCGAAAGAUGGUGAACUAUACUUGAUCAGGUUGAAGUCAGGGGAAACCCUGAUGGAAGACCGAAACAGUUCUGACGUGCAAAUCGAUGUC
rnacentral:rRNA from 1 species